rnacentral:rRNA from 1 species
AUUGAACGCUAGCGGGAUGCUUUACACAUGCAAGUCGAACGGCAGCGCGGACUUCGGUCUGGCGGCGAGUGGCGAACGGGUGAGUAAUGUAUCGGAACGUGCCCAGUAGCGGGGGAUAACUACGCGAAAGCGUAGCUAAUACCGCAUACGCCCUACGGGGGAAAGCAGGGGAUCGUAAGACCUUGCACUAUUGGAGCGGCCGAUAUCGGAUUAGCUAGUUGGUGAGGUAACGGCUCACCAAGGCGACGAUCCGUAGCUGGUUUGAGAGGACGACCAGCCACACUGGGACUGAGAUACGGCCCAGACUCCUACGGGAGGCAGCAGUGGGGAAUUUUGGACAAUGGGGGCAACCCUGAUCCAGCCAUCCCGCGUGUGCGAUGAAGGCCUUCGGGUUGUAAAGCACUUUUGGCAGGAAAGAAACGUCGCGGGCUAAUACCCCGUGGAACUGACGGUACCUGCAGAAUAAGCACCGGCUAACUACGUG